AGAGUUUGAUCCUGGCUCAGGAUGAACGCUGACAGAAUGCUUAACACAUGCAAGUCUUUGGCGAAGCUGUGCUUGCACAGCCUAGCCAAGGCGGACGGGUGAGUAACGCGUAAGGAACUUGCCCUGCAGUCAGGGAUAACAGACGGAAACGACUGAUAAGACCUGGUAAAGUCAGGCGGACUCAUGUCCAGCCUGAUGAAAAGAGAUGCUGCAGGAGAGCCUUGCGUCCUAUUAGCUUGUUGGUGGGGUAACGGCCCACCAAGGCGAUGAUAGGUAGCCGGCCUGAGAGGGUGGACGGCCACAAGGGGACUGAGAUACGGCCCUUACUCCUACGGGAGGCAGCAGUGGGGAAUAUUGGACAAUGGGGGCAACCCUGAUCCAGCAAUUCUGUGUGCACGAUGAAGGUUUUCGGAUUGUAAAGUGCUUUCAGCAGGGAAGAAAAAAAUGACGGUACCUGCAGAAGAAGCGACGGCUAAAUACGUGCCAGCAGCCGCGGUAAUACGUAUGUCGCAAGCGUUAUCCGGAAUUAUUGGGCAUAAAGGGCAUCUAGGCGGCCAGAUAAGUCUGGGGUGAAAACUUGCGGCUCAACCGCAAGCCUGCCCUGGAAACUAUGUGGCUAGAGUACUGGAGAGGUGGACGGAACUGCACGAGUAGAGGUGAAAUUCGUAGAUAUGUGCAGGAAUGCCGAUGAUGAAGAUAGUUCACUGGACGGUAACUGACGCUGAAGUGCGAAAGCUAGGGGAGCAAACAGGAUUAGAUACCCUGGUAGUCCUAGCUGUAAACGAUGAUUACUGGGUGUGGGCAUGAAGAGUGUCCGUGCCGAAGCUAAUGCGAUAAGUAAUCCGCCUGGGGAGUACGGCCGCAAGGCUGAAACUCAAAGGAAUUGACGGGGACCCGCACAAGCGGUGGAGCAUGU
rnacentral:rRNA from 2 species